GGCGGGCUGUGGGAACCUGGGUUGGGCCUCUGGGUCGGGGGCGGCGGCGGCGGGCCCGGCCCGCGGGUGGGCAGGGUCUGCGGUUUGGCCGGUGGACGCGCGGGGCAAUGACCAAGGUCCUGGCCCUUCGGGGGCGGGAACGCUGGGGCUGAAGUUCCGAGGGGAUGUUAUUCUUAGCCGGCGUGGUGAGGGCAGGCGGACGGCUGUGUGGUACCCCGGAAUCUGGAGGCUGAGGUUGUAAUAGAGCGCCGUUCCCGACUCGCUGUGUGCCCUGGAGCCAGUCGCUGCCUCUCUCUGAGCCUCAGUUUCUCCAUCCUGACCUUCCGAGGUUGGCCUGUGUUGGGGGUGCGCUCGCCAUGACCGAGCCUUUCUUUGGGCGAGGAAUGGUGUGUGUAUUGGGCUGCCUGGCUCUCUUGUCAGUCUUUGGCCCGUGUGAUGGGGCUGUGCACAGAUCCGGGGUCCAAGAGAGCCCUGUUCACCGUGGGACUGGAGGCCAGGAUGAGGUUACAGGUGAAAGGGACUAGAUUUUUUCCACCCAGCCCUUAGUGGGUAGUGUUGUGCAGCACAAAAAGCCAAUUGUUGAACAGGAGGUUGUCUUUUGGAAAGCAAGAGGCCCAGGGCUGAAGUUUGCGUCAGUCUGGUGCUUUGGGAGGACCUGCAGACCUGUAUUUUCUGAACAGCCCCUUGAUUUUCUGCACGGGCUCCCUGGUAUGUUUUUCCCCUGGGUGCGCCCAUGCGGCUCCAGUUACGUGAGAGCUUUGGCAUGACCACUGGUACCCAUUCGUGCCUCCUUUCUCAGCCAUCUGCGAGAGAUGAAGAGUCUGUCAAGUGGCUGUCUGCCACAAGAGGCGUUUGAAGCGCCUGAUGGUGCUGAUAGUUUGCAUCUUUCUGGGGCUUAUCUCAGCUCACUUGAAGGACUUGAUCUUGAGACAGCUGUCGCUUCAGUUCCCAUGACAUCCUGGGCUGUGGUGCUGGGACAGGUUCUUCUGGUGUGCUGGAUUUGGAAUGCAAAGGCCAGUGACUGAGAAGAUAGGAAGGGACAUCUCCUCCUAGACCUGUCUAGUAGAUGCUCAGCAAGGGCAGGACAUGAUCUCCACCCAGCAAUGGCAGCCACAUACCCACACACCCUGUGGUACACCAUGGUGGUACUUUUGCUUUGUUAUCCAAGCAGACUCAACCCUUCUAUUCAUUUGCUACUUACCUCUAUGAGUUGAUAGUUUCCUUGAAGAUCCUGUGCUCGUGCUUGCAAAGGGGGAGACUGUGGAGUCAAGCAGAUCUGGGUUUUAACGUCUAAUGCGAUUAGAAGGUAACUUGAUAAAUGGUAGUGUUCAUUAUCAGAGCAGUGGGGGGUUAAGAGUGGCAGAGGUGGGGGAAAAAAGUGGUAGAGGGGAAAGAACUAACAGUUCCUGCCCAUCUGCUGUGCACCAGGCAUUGUGCUAGGCUCUUGACCCAUGUAGAUUUCAUUUGGUUGUUCUUUUGGGUUCUAAGUUUGGUGGUAUUAUCCACAUUUUACAAAUGAGGACACAAAUGGAGUAAUUUGCUUGAGGUUUCCUAUGAGGUCGUGGACAGAGCCAGUAAAAGAGCCAGGUCUGUUUCAUUCCAAAGCCUAACGCUUAUUUCCAAAAACACUAAUUUCUCUUAAAAGUGCCACACCAGUUAUAUGGACAAGAAAGGCCUUCAGAAGUCGGAGGGAUGACUGCCUCGGAUAGUGUGGUGAUGGUAGUGGGGCAUCAGGAAGAAGGGGAAGGAGCUCGUAGGAGUGGAGGCUGGGCUUUGCAGGAGAGGUGGCCAGCAAGUAGGAGGGGCUUCCCUUGGAGCCAGGGGUGAGGGUGGCACGCAGGGCGAACCUGUCUAUUUAGAUCUGGCUGCUUUUAGGUGACUGAGGAGAGCCAGUUUGCAAAGGGCCUCAUCUGCCAGUUCAACCAGUCUGUAUCUUAACCUCCAGGCAUCGGUGCAGUGCUGAAAGCUUAAGAGCAGGGAGAUCUAACUAAAAUCAGAGUUCAGGCUGGCCACAUCCAGAGACCAAGUUGGGUAGUGAGAAGUGGGAAGCUCCUGUAGUGGGAGGCUCUUGCAGUGAUGAAAGACUCUUGCAGUGACAAGUGAGGAGAGGAUGGCCUGAAGAAAGGCAUCCUUGGGAACAAAGACAUUGGUGACUGACCAGCUCUUGGGGCCCUGGGACGAGAGGUGUGGGUGGAUGGCAGGGUUGCAGACCAGGCUGGCGGGGACAGGGCUGGUACAGAUGACAAAGGGGGAGGUCAGGGAGAGGGCCCCAGGUCAAACCGCACCUUUACCUGGGCCCCGCCGUGCACAGAACUUCCUUGUGGAAAUGCAGACAGUAGGCGGUGGCAGGAUUAAGUUCUGGCAGAGCUGGACAGCUCCAUUUGGAGCGAACUGUGGUGGCCGAUGAUUCUUGAAGAGAAGGAGUGUGACCUAGGUCUGCAUUUGUCCGCUGUGGUAGCCGCAUGUGGCUUUUAACAUUUAACUUAGGUGAAUAAAAUACAAAAUCCAGUUUCCCGUUCACUCUAGAAACAUUUCAGGUGUCUCAAUGUGGCCAGUGGCAGCAAAGCUGUAGAACCUUUCAGUCAUCACAGGAAGUUCUCCUGGACAGCACUGGUCUGGAUAUGGGAGCCUCUGCAAAUAACUAGGGGACCUGCAGGGGGAAACAGAGCAAAAGGAGGAGACAGAAGGAGCCACUGAAUUAAGAAAUAAUGUUCCUGAGAGAAAAAAAGAAAAUAAAGAAUGCUGCUGCUCUCGUACAGGUCUCCAAAGAAGCAGGGUACUUGUAUUUGGAUUUGGAUUUUUUUUUUUUUCCCUUGUGUGAUGUCCUGUUUUAGAAAAAGCCCCAACCCCAGGUCAGUGAUAGAUCUGGCUACAAGAUGUUGGCAUCAAGACCUUGCCUCUUGUCUUUGUUUUGUAGCUCUGGGCCUUCAACAGGUCCGGUUUGGCUUUUAGAGCACCUUUUGGCCUUGAAGUAGGGAGAGCCUCCAGUUAGCCACAGGGAGAGAAGACAGCAGUCCUGUACAGCAAAUACACUGUUGUCUCUGAUCGGUGGAAGAGGCCAAAGCUAGAGAAAUUGGGUAACUUGCCCAAGGUCAAACGGCUAAUGAGUGGCAGGGUCAAAAUUGGAACCUGGGUCUUUGAUUUCAAAACCCGUGAUAAAUGUGCAUACAAUAAAAUACACAUUGUAGCUGCUUUUGAAAGUGCCUAUAAGCAAAAAGCAAAAGAAGUCCUACCGUUGAGAAAGGAUUCCUGUUGACAUUUUGGUUUCUACCCUUCCAGGAUACGUAUGUGUACGUAUGUGUCUGUAAAAUUUAUCGAUAUAUUUAUAAGCUUGUGUUAUAGAUGGACAUAGACACACACUCUAGUCCUUUUCGAUGUGUGUAGAUAACAGCAGGCCAUACUCUUGACUACCAUCUUCAAUCCCUUAUUAGCAGUUCUGAAGUCCUAAAAGCUCCAAAGACUAAAAAAAAAAUUGCAUAAGUUUGGUCCAAGCCCACUGUGGCAGCGAGACUCGCUUGAACUGACAUGAGACUAUUUAUAGGCUUUAUUUGUCCCCCCACACUUUACUACUCCUACGUCGCACUGUGGAAAUAUCAAAGUGUUUGAUUCCUCAGUGUUGCCUCAGACUCUGCUGGGGGGUGUUGUAUUAUAUACAGCAGAAGUCACAUAUUAGCUUUUUAAGAUCCCCCAAAUUCUGAAUUCCAAAGUACGCUUGGCCCCAAGCGUACAAGGGUACGAGAUCAGAAUCGUGGAUCCGUGUUAGGCACUCCUGCUGCUUGAGCUAAGGAAGGAGCCUCCAGGGGCAGUGUUGUCUGUUUAGCCAGGCAUGGGAGAAGGCUUUUGGUCCUGUAAACUAUACAGUGCAAUGCACAGGAUUUGCAAGAAAAGCAAAACACUUCAGCAGUUCUAUACAUCCAGACCAAGCUGUUACCAUGGUUGACCUACUUACUAGGUAGCCUCUUACAGGGAAAUGGUUUCAAUUGUAGGUGUGAAAGGUGGUCAUCAAGUAAGCACCCAGAAAUGACAGUGAGCUUGAUCUCUGCCCUGUGGCUCUUUGUUCACUGUGUGUUUACUCACUGCCUGAUAUGUUCCAUAAAUUGUGGUAAGCCCAGGUCCACAGGGGAAAAAAACAUCAGCCCCUGCUCCCAAGGAGCUUGUGGUCUAGCUAAAGAAGUAAGACAAAAAGAGGUAAACACAGUGGCGGUUCUAUUAUGAUAAAUGCCUUGAUUGAGGCAAGCACUAGCUGUAUGAAAAUACAAGGAGAGGACCAGUAGAAGACCUUUUGAAGGGGGUGAACACUGAGCAGAGUCUGAAAGGAUGAUGUCUACCACACGAAGGUGGGAUUGAGGACUGGUUAGGAUCAGGAGUGGGGUGAGGAGACAGCAUCUAAAGAGAAAUCGUGGGGCACCUGCAUGGCUCAGUCAGUUAAGUGUUCGACUUCGGCUCAGGUCACGAUCUCAGGGUUGGUGAAUUCGAGCCCCACAUCAGGCUCUGUGCUGACAGCUCAGAGCCUGGAGCCUGCUUCAGAUUCUGUGUCUCCCUCUCUCUCUACCCCUCCCCUUCUUCCGCUCUGUUUCUCUCUCUCUUCAGAAAUAAAUAAACAUUAAAAAUAAUAAAAAUAAUAAUAGAGAAAUCGUUUUGGUGUGACUGGAUGGGGGCUGUGGGAGAUGGGGCUGGAGAGGGGGUCUGGGUGAAUUACAAAGGUCCUUGUGUGUAAUACUCAUAGGUUUGGGGUUGAUUCGAUAGUUGAUAGAAAUUAUUGUGGGAGGGGCGCCUUAGAGGCUCAGUUGGUUGAGCAUAAGACUCUUGAUUUUAGCUCAGAUCAUGAUCUCACUGUUCGUGGGUUUGAGCCCCAAGUAACUGCUUGGGAUUCUGUCUCUCCCUCUCUCUCUCUCUUCUCUCCGGCUCACGCAUGCAGGCUCUCUCUCUCCAAAUAAAUAAACUUAAAAAAGAUGGGGCGCCUGGGUGGCUCAGUCGGUUAAGCGUCCGACUUCGGCUCAGGUCACGAUCUCACGGUCCGUGAGUUCAAGCCCCACGUCGGGCUCUGGGCUGAUGGCUCAGAGCCUGGAGCAUGCUUCCAAUUCUGUGUCUCCCUCUCUCUCUGCCCCUCCCCCGUUCAUGCUCU